UCCGGCCUCUUUCUACUUGCCAACUUGAACAAAACAACAAACCUGAUAUUUUUCUUCCUUCUCCUCCACCUCACAAUUCUUCUACCGAAAUUCCAUAUCAAACAUUUUUUUCGCUUUUAAUAAUCACCACCUAUAUAAUAUUUCUCAUUCUCAAUAUCGUUUGUCUCUCUCAAUGGCUCUGAAAAUGCUGCUAAGAAGCUCUUCAACACCGGUUCUUGGAUCCCUUCUCUCAUCUUUCUCAGACACUCCUAACAGUCUUGAUACCAAAAAGCACUACUCCAUUCACCACCAAACCUUCAGUAGCAGUAGGUCUCCUUUUCACCAAAAUGGCUGUCUCCAUCUCAACACUGUCUCUUGCAACUCCUCUCCCAUCUCUCCUUCUAUUGCUGAAUUCUCUGACUAUUCCCUUAAAGGUCUUCGUCGAGCUCAGUCUGAAGGUAACCUUGAAGGACUGGCUUAUGUUUCUUGCAGUAAUAAAGAAGAAUGCCCAAAUUCAAGCCUGCCCAAGAAGGUUUCAGCCAGACAAAAGUGUUUGAUGUUAGAAACUAUACCCUCGUUUUCGCUCUGUAAUUUGAGAGGUCGCUAUGAAGAAGAGGAUGAUGAGGAUUAUGAUGGGAGUAACUUAGCAGACGAGGAAGAGAGAAAACAAGUGGAAGCAAAUGCGGCAAGGGAAAGUGCUCCCAUUGGCUUAGGUAAUAAGAUGGAGAACAUGAUUUUGAGUGAGCAAGUGGGGGUACUUGCGGAUGGCAGCUUGAAUGUGGGUUUUGAAUGGGAAAGAUGAUUGAUGAUUAGUGAAGAAAUGUAUCUUGCAAGACGGCUAGGAAUUGAUGGUGGUAGCAAUAAUGGAACUGGCGGCGGAGGUGGUUCUGGCGGCAAAGGCGAUGGUGGUGGUGGUGGUGGGGAAUUUCAUUGGGGAGGUGGAGAUGGUGGAGAUAUGGGUGGCACAGAAGAGUAUUAUAAGAACAUGCUGCAGGAAAAUCCUGGCAACUCCUUGUUUCUGAGGAAUUAUGCACAAUAUCUGUAUCAGUCAAAGGGAGAUCUUCAAGGCGCAGAAGAGUAUUACUCACGAGCUAUUUAGCAGAUCCUAAAGAUGGUGAAGUUCUAUCACAGUAUGCGAAGUUAAUAUGGGAGUUGCAUCAUGAUCAAGAAAGAGCUUCAACCUACUUUGAAGGGGCAGUUCAAGCUUCUCCUGAAGAUAGCCAUGUACAUGCAGCCUAUGCAAGAUUCCUAUGGGAAACAGAGGAAGAUGAUGACGAGUGUAACGCGCCAAGAGAUUUUGAUGCCAUGCCCCACAUUUCCAUCAAGACCUAAUGACUUCUACUGGUUCUUGAUGGCAAGAGUGAGCGGCAGCACACAGACAUUGUCAGGAGGGGUAUGUUGGAGAAAAUGAGCAGCAGUGCAUAACUCUUACGUGCCAUGACACACACUGAGAUAUUCCUUUUCCCAAUUGCGAUGCAGUUAUAAAUUAAUGUUUGAUAUAGUUAUACGCUGAUUGGAGAGUCCUUACAGCUUGCCACAGCGUAAAUCUGACACCUUGUGAUGAUUUCAAUAUUGGAAUAAACUUGAUGGACUCGCCGUGAAAAAGUUCUAUGUAUUUGGCUAACGAUCGAGUCACAACCAAGUCACCUAUGAAACAACCCUGACCAUACAGAACUUUGAAACAAUGAUGCAGAGCUAAGGAAGAUUAUGUUCAACCACAAAUAUCCAAACCCAGAAUUUCAUUUUAAUCAUCUAAAAACUAUCUGACCCCAUCCCCAAUCUUUUACCUCAGUUUAUGGCAUUCCUCUUCAAUGAAUUCCAGAACUUGAUUUUAAAUUAAACGUCUUGGAUUAGAACUGA